AGUUUCUUCUUCUCUUU
rnacentral:sRNA from 1 species